UGGGGAAUAUUGCGCAAUGGGCGAAAGCCUGACGCAGCGACGCCGCGUGAGGGGAUGAAGGUCUUCGGAUCGUAAACCUCUGUCAGCAGGGAAGAACGGUCACUGUGCUAAUCAGCAGUGAAUUGACGGUACCUGCAAAGGAAGCACCGGCUAACUCCGUCGCC
rnacentral:rRNA from 1 species